rnacentral:rRNA from 1 species
CACGCGGGAAAUCUUACCGGGUCCGGACACACUGAGGAUUGACAGGUAUUAUAUAAUUGCUCUUCGGAGCUUUUAUUGUUAAAUAUGCUAGUCCUUUCAUGAUUAUGUGAUAGGUGGUGCAUGGCCGUUCUUAGUUCGUGGAGUGAUCUGUCUGCUUAAUUGCGUUUCACUAUAAGGAUCUAUAUUCUUUACAGUGUGCAGUGCAUUGACCCCUUCUUCGGAAGCGUGUGUCUUUACGCUCACACUUCAUUAGGUCCUGAAAGCAACGAACGUGACCGCAACCUCUUGUUGCCUCUGUGCUCCUACACGCUCAAUGCGCUAAACACUGGUUUUCUAGCUUAGUGCGUUGGUUGAGGCUUUCUUAAACUAGAGGGACCGCUGUCAACUUCUUAAACCAGAGGAAGGUUGCGGCAAUAACAGGUCUGUGAUGCCCUUAGAUGUUCCGGGCUGCACACGUGCUACAAUGAUUGUUGCAGUGAGCAUCUCAAUUCUUUACCACACCGCACACGUGAGUCUUUAACGUUUUGUUAAUGCACUUUACGCAGCGGUAACGCCUGCUUCGAGAGCAAGUGGGUAAUCAAUUAGAAGUAACGAUUUCCCAAGUUAGCACACUUAUAUACGGCGUUUAUGCCCGGGUUUCACUCC